rnacentral:rRNA from 1 species
UACGUAGGUGGCAAGCGUUAUCCGGAUUCAUUGGGCGUAAAGAGAACGCAGGCGGUCUUUUAAGUCUGAUGUGAAAGCCUUCGGCUUAACCGGAGUAGUGCAUUGGAAACUGGGAGACUUGAGUGCAGAAGAGGAGAGUGGAACUCCAUGUGUAGCGGUGAAAUGCGUAGAUAUAUGGAAGAACACCAGUGGCGAAAGCGGCUCUCUGGUCUGUAACUGACGCUGAGGUUCGAAAGCGUGGGUAGCAAACAGG